rnacentral:rRNA from 1 species
GGAUGCGAUCAUACCAGCACUAAUGCACCGGAUCCCAUCAGAACUCCGAAGUUAAGUGUGCUUGGGCGAGAGUAGUACUAGGAUGGGUGACCUCCUGGGAAGUCCUCGUGUUGCAUUCC